rnacentral:rRNA from 1 species
GAUGAACGCUAGCGGCAGGCCUAAUACAUGCAAGUCGAACGAGAUUAAGAGGCUUGCUUCUUAUGAAAGUGGCGCACGGGUGCGUAACGCGUAUGCAACCUACCUUAAUCAGGGGGAUAGCCCGAAGAAAUUCGGAUUAAGACCGCAUAAAAACACAGGAUAGCAUUAUCCAAUGUUCAAAUAUUUAUAGGUUUAAGAUGGGCAUGCGUGUCAUUAGCUAGUUGGCGGGGUAACGGCCCACCAAGGCGACGAUGACUAGGGGAUCUGAGAGGAUGACCCCCCACACUGGUACUGAGACACGGACCAGACUCCUACGGGAGGCAGCAGUAAGGAAUAUUGGUCAAUGGAGGGAACUCUGAACCAGCCAUGCCGCGUGCAGGAAGACAGCCCUCUGGGUCGUAAACUGCUUUUAGUCGGGAAUAAACCUUUCUACGUGUAGGAAGCUGAAUGUACCGAAGGAAUAAGGAUCGGCUAACUCCGUG